rnacentral:rRNA from 1 species
GACGAACGCUGGCGGCGUGCUUAACACAUGCAAGUCGAACGGAAAGGCCCUGCUUUUGUGGGGUGCUCGAGUGGCGAACGGGUGAGUAACACGUGAGUAACCUGCCCUUGACUUUGGGAUAACUUCAGGAAACUGGGGCUAAUACCGGAUAGGAGCUCCUGCUGCAUGGUGGGGGUUGGAAAGUUUCGGCGGUUGGGGAUGGACUCGCGGCUUAUCAGCUUGUUGGUGGGGUAGUGGCUUACCAAGGCUUUGACGGGUAGCCGGCCUGAGAGGGUGACCGGCCACAUGGGGACUAAGGUACGGCGCAGACUCCUACGGGAGGCAGCAGGGGGGAAUAUUGCACAAUGGGCGGGAGGCUGAGACGGCAACGCCGCGUGCGGGAUGACGGGCUUCGGGUUGUAAACCGCUUUCGCCUGUGACGAAGCGUGAGUGACGGUAAUGGGUAAGGAAGCACCGGCUAACUACGUG